rnacentral:rRNA from 1 species
GUGCCAGCAGCCGCGGUAAUACGGAGGAUGCGAGCGUUAUCCGGAUUUAUUGGGUUUAAAGGGAGCGUAGGUGGGAUAUUAAGUCAGCUGUGAAAGUUUGGGGCUCAACCUUAAAAUUGCAGUUGAUACUGGUUUCCUUGAGUACGGUACAGGUGGGCGGAAUUCGUGGUGUAGCGGUGAAAUGCUUAGAUAUCACGAAGAACUCCGAUCGCGAAGGCAGCUCACCGGGCCGGAACUGACACUGAUGCUCGAAAGUGCGGGUAUCAAACAGGAUUAGAAACCCUUGUAGUCC